AGGAGAUCUUACAGAAAGGUUUUCCUCUCGAGGAGGUAUGCUCGCUCAUGAAAAAAUACGCUCCUCGAAGGAACACAAAUUUCAUGGACCAACCACGGAUUAAUCCGGGAGUGAAUGGCACCAUUUCCGAAUGAAUGAUUGCUGUUCGAAAACAGCCUAGAGGAAAAAAUGAAAGUAGCAAAAAUACUUAAAAAUCCGUCUCGGGAGUUGAAGCCGAGUCACUCAGUCGCAAAUCCUAAGGAUUGAAAAAACCGGAAAGUCAACCGCCGCGACGUCCGACCGAUCAAAAGUUUCAGAGGACGUCAGAAACGGGCGGGAGGAAACCGUGGAUGUCGGAAAAUUUGUACAACACCUCGCGACAGAGGGACAAUUGUGGUUGGGAGGAACCCAAACGGAGACAGCGUCAUUAUUGAGGAAAUACUAGCCGAACUUGUAAUUAAUUUGGCGAGUAGGCUAUGCUUUUAUGUGAGCGAAUGACGUGAAAUUACGCCAGAGAAGUGCAUCUUGGCUUGGAUCAAAGGACAUAAAAUCCCUUUCUGUAGAAUCUCGUAUCAUUAUUUUAUUAUACGUUUAUUCCGAAGGAACGUGUGUGGGAUAAAGAGAGCUCUGUAAUGAACGAUCUGAUAGAGAAAUUACUCAGCAUCAGUGCAAUUGAAAAAUGUCAGGAGAAAAGAGAUUAGUUCUUGUUCAACAUUUUUGCAGUUCCAGAAUCUGAUGGAAGCUUUGGAUUGGUGUUAAACCUUUAAGUUCGUACAAGCUGGGCACUUCAUGCAAUUACGAUCAAACUUUACUUACACUUGCAAAACGUAGUAAAAGUGGGAUGCGAUAAAACCGUUAGCGACUGUUCGAGCGUUUAGCUGCUUGAAUCCUCCACAAAUUUACUUCACUGUAUAAACUUCUAAGAUCGAGAUUUAAACUUGACCUACUGAGCACGGUACGAGAUAUUUCCGAACUGUUGGAGGUGGAAGGAGUCGUACACUAGAAAUUAGUCAGUCUAUAAACUUGUUAGUCUGAAAUCGCUUGCUCAAUAUACUGGUGCUGGGUAUGAGUAUUGAGUUGGAAAGUUCAGAGUUCGGGGCCAUUUGUGAGUUACGCUUCCAACGAAGAAACAUGGUUUAGCAUGGCAACAUUGUAAGCCUGUGCCAAAUAUCCUUAAGGCGUAAGUCAAAACUCUCAUAAAAGGUGCUCCCGAAGGAAGUUAUUAGAAAUUCCAGUGAGAAAAAUUGUGUCAUAUGGAGAAGCAAACCUAUUCAAAAAUCUUAUUUGAAAAAUUCGCAGAAACGAUAAAAACAUGUUAUUUUAAUGCCAAUUAAGUGGGAAACAUUAAAUCCUGAGUCGGAACUGCUAAAUGUAUUUCAAUAACGCGAACAUGUCAUGCCAUGACAAACAUAAUAUUACAACUUCAUUGUACCUAUAACCUAAUAACGAAAAUAUUCCGAAAUAUAAUUUUUCAAGUCGGUAAACCAUAUCGGCUUCGUGAUUGCUCGUUGUACGUGAAUACCGUUUAGAGUAAGUUUUUAGUUGCUGUUGAUAGCAUUUCGGUAUACAAAAUCUCUGGGGAUUUAGCCACAUGCUAAAUGCUUGAUAGAAUCAAUUCUAAACUAUUUGAACAGUAGGAAGAAUGUGUCUUGACCUAUGACUUACUUCGUACUUUGAUUUAAUACUUUAAGUACCGCGUUGGCCUCUGCCUUCCGCUCAUGCGGAUUUAUUCACAUAUAAUAAGCUAUAGUGAAAACGGUGAUCAGCCACCGUUACAGCAGUGAAAAUGCUCGAUAUGGACCUUCACUGAUAAUACUGUGUAGGAAAGAUAACUGUUGAACAAAUGGUCUUUAUACUUUAUGUGCGAUGUUGUGUUGAAAAUAUUUAAUGAUCGUGUAAUUUAUUAU
rnacentral:lncRNA from 1 species